UUGGUCCAAAUGAUGCUCAAUCGGCCUUAUGUUGCCGAUAGCUUUUGACCCGCUCGACGAAUCGAAAUUCCGACUUCGCCCCCGCGUUUAGGCACCUACCAAUUAGGUUUACAAGGCCUCAAAUGAGAUCAAUCCCACACUUUACCGAAAAACCCUAUUUUGGUGCCCUAGGGUUAGCAUCAAGCUAAACCCAUCUCAAAACCCU
rnacentral:lncRNA from 1 species